rnacentral:tRNA from 4 species
GCGGGAGUGGUGGAAUUGGCAGACACGCAGGAUUUAGGUUCCUGUGCCUUCGGGCGUGUGGGUUCAAGUCCCACCUUCCGCA